rnacentral:tRNA from 1 species
GCGGUCGUGGUGGAAUUGGCAGUCACGUCAGGUUUAGGUCCUGGUGGGAGAAAUCCCGUGAGGGUUCGAGUCCCUCCGACCGCA